rnacentral:rRNA from 1 species
UACGGAGGGGCUAGCGUUGUUCGGAAUUACUGGGCGUAAAGCGCACGUAGGCGGCUUGUAAGUUAGAGGUGAAAGCCCCGGGGCUCAACUCCGGAAUUGCCUUUAAGACUGCAUCGCUAGAACGUCGGAGAGGUGAGUGGAAUUCCGAAGUGUAGAGGUGAAAUUCGUAGAUAUCGGGAGGAACACCAGUGGCGAAGGCGGAGUCUCUG